AAAAAAAAAUCAAGCCACCUAGGGGACUCGAACCCCUGACCUUAAGAUUAAAAGUCUCACGCUCUACCAACUGAGCUAAGGAGGCCAUGA
ensembl:ncRNA F49C5.14 ncRNA